rnacentral:misc_RNA from 1 species
UUUCCGUAGGUGAACCUGCGGAAGGAUCAUUCAUAAUAAAGUGUUUUAUGGCACUUUUUAAAAAUCCAUAUCCACCUUGUGUGCAAUGUUAGAUCUCGUCAAUCUUGGCGAGAUUUUUAUACAUCAACUCAUUCUUUAACUAAUUUGUCUGAAAAAUAUUAUGAAUACUUAAUUCAAAUACAACUUUCAACAACGGAUCUCUUGGCUCUC